UACGUAGGGUGCGAGCGUUGUCCGGAAUUAUUGGGCGUAAAGGGCUCGUAGGCGGUUUGUCGCGUCGGGAGUGAAAACCCAGGGCUUAACUCUGGGCUUGCUUUCGAUACGGGCAGACUAGAGGUAUGCAGGGGAGAACGGAAUUCCGUGGUGUAGCGGUGAAAUGCGCAGGAUAUCAGGAGGAACACCGGUGGCGAAGGCGGCUUCUGGGUCUUACCUGACGCUGAGGAACGAAAGCUAGGGGAGCGAACGG
rnacentral:rRNA from 1 species